ACAAACAGGAGAUAGGAGCACUCAUCUUCUAUAAUUUUGUCCAUGUUGAGAAAGAUACAGGGGUAUAUAAUGUCCUAUAUAGAGGCAUUAUGGUAACUGUAAACCAAAGAUAACAUGUGAUGGCACCCGUUGAUUUUUAUACAGAUACAACUGAUUUCACCUGUUGACUAAAUUGAAACUACAACCCCAAGUCAGAAAAACUGGGACACAGUAAAAUGUUAAAGAGAAAGAAAACAUGAAACUUAAAAACAGAAAAAAAUGUUUAAAGAUAUUCUCAUUUUAUGCCUGAGGCCAGACUGGAUUUACUGUUAAAUGGUUGGCAUACUUUAAAAAUCGAUUUGAAUCAACAAUUUAUAGUGUGACUUUUUUUUAAAAUUGGGAUUUAAAAAAAAAAAAAAAAGAAUCAGCAUCUCAGGCUUCUGUGAAAUCAAGCAUCACUUUCUGUAUUUAAUCUUUCUGCUUCCCCAAACCUGUUAAAAAAAAAAAAAAAAAUCAUUUAACAAUAAUUGCCAAAGUGUAACUCGCAUGAAUGGGGUUGUUCUAUUACCAGUGUUUUAUUGCAGUAACAAAAAAAGUCCAACAGGUGGUGGUAGAGAGCCAGCUUUCAAGUCUAAACAAGCAGCUGUGGCCGUGAAAGGGCCCCAAAACACCUCAUGUGAACUCAUCCCUGAGGUAGUGCGAAAUGUGUGAGCUAAUCAGUCUAUGUAUAAAGAGACAUGCGAGCACAAGACUUCAUUUUAAAUUUGAUACAAAUAUGACUUGCAGAUCUUUUGAAACUUAAUUUAUUAUUAAAAAAAAGUUUCCUUGUAAAGGAGAUUAAAUAAUCUUCUUGUGAUUAACAUUUCUCUGUGUGUGCUAAUGACCUCCUCUGAGGUAAUUGAUUGUGCUCCCCUGUCUCAGUGUGUGGCCUUCUCCUAUCUCUGCUCUGCAUAUCUUAUUCAGAGCAGGUUCGCUGCUCAGGGCUGUGCUGACAUUUAGACAGGCCACUUCUUUUCAGAAAGAACUGUUGGCACUCGCAAACACACACACACACGCCCGCGCGCACACACACAGAUAACGGUGGUCAGAAAACCUUGUCAACUUUGAGUCCUGUUUUCUUUCCCUCUACCUUAAACUCUGUCUUUCUUCUGUCUCUCUUUCACCCUGGUGUCUGUUUAACUGAGUGUUUGUGUCAGUUUCUAAGCUCACCCUUUUUUUUCUUGCCUGGCAUCUUUAUCUACCUGUUUAAAAUUUACCAUUUUAGGAGCAUUUGCAUCCAUAUCUCCCAUUUAUGCCAAUCAUCUGUUUUCUGUGCUCCGCUCUUGUUUUUCUCAGUUUCCCCUUGAGUGUCACCACUUGAUAUCAAGGGGCGCGGUGCGAAAGAUAGCCCUCUUUCUUAGUAUGCUCGAUAUUUUCCCAUUAUGCAAAUGUGGCGCUGAAACAACUUCGUGACAGGUGCUGAUCUACCAAGGCAGGUGAUGUUUUUGUAGCCAAGGUGUGUGCAGAUUUGAUGUCCUUCCUGCCCUGCGAACCAAUAUGUAUCUCGAGCUCUCAUAUCAACAGAGUUUACAGAUAAACAGAUUCUUGUGUUGGACUCUCAAGGUUGUGAUAGUUUAAUGGCUCUUAUGUUAUUAUAUGUUCAGCUCCUCUACUCUGAUAGCAGCAUUUGUCAACAGAGCCCUUAAUCACAUUGUCAUACUUCAAAUAAGUAUCUAUAGCGUUACCCUUCAAAAAUGUUCACUUGAAUGUAACCUAGCAUAAUGAAAGCUAACUGUAAUAAGAGAUACCAUGUUUAGAGGGAUAUUCCAGCGUAAAAUUAAUUUAGGGUCAAACAACGUAACACUUAGUUAGACACCCCCUCGAGAGAUGAAUGUUGCCGUCCGCUUGCUUCUCUAGUUAUACCAUUUUUUCAUUACUUCAGUCAUUUCUUCAUGGAAAUGCAAUCAGACCGAGACGCUAAGGUAGAAGAACUACCACGUCUGCAGUGCAAAAUGAUUAAUAUGAUGAUUAUUACUUCAAGGAAAUGAUAAAGUAAUGAUCAUAAAUGUUCUUCCUUGAGCUGCGUCACCCCACUGUAGUCUGUAAUGGACCCUAAAUUAAUUUUACGCUGGAAUAUCUCUUAGGAAGUAUUUUAUAGUUAACAGUAAGCAGGAAGGCUUAUACUGCAGCCAGUCACCAGGGGGAGCUCUAUUUUAUUUAUUUAUUUAUUUUUUGCUUCAAUUUUGAGACACUGUCAUGUUCAUCAUCUUUAUUUAUUGUCUGUGGUGAGGAUUCACCUGUAAGCAUCAAACAGUUUCAAUCAAUAGCAUGUGUAUAGCUAUCAAAUAAGGGAUUAGUAGUCGUUUAAGCAUGAACUAGCAUUUAUAGAGUAUUGGAUUUGUAGUCCUUUGCAUGUAUGAUGUAUGAUUUUUUAUCUUAUUAGCACGAAAGUAGUUAUUUUCAGGAGAGGGCUGCUAAACUCAAGUACUUUUUUUAUAACCAUGGGAAGCCAAUACACAGUGAGAAUGCAAUCCUCUCUGAUCUCAUGUAUCAUCAUGGGUGUUCUCAAUGUUCACCUCCUGUCUUCUCAGUGUUAAAAAUGAAGGGCUGUACAGAACUGAGCUCACUGAGGUGAGAGCUGCCUGUGCUUGUAUGAUUUGGCACUGUUGCAUUUUCUAUUCCCCAGUGAGUCAUCUCUGCGCAGAUGUGUCCUCAUCUGUCUCACUCACUGUUCUUCGAGACCAUUACCCAAGAGUGCAGCAUACCUACACAGGCACACACCAUAUGAGCCCACCGAGCCAGCUGUUGUCACAGGGAAAUUACUGCCUAACCUUUAAUUUAUGCACUUUCUACUACUUGGACAGGGAUGUGAUUGAAGUAGAUAACCUGAGGCAGAGGACACAACACUGCGGAUGAUCUGGCAGGAAGUAUAUCAUCAGAGUAGGCGGUUGCUUUCUGUACAUCAGGAUAGAGAGAUUUGAGAAGUAUGUAAAUUCUGUCACAACACAUCAAAUACUUCAAUAUUCCAGGUUUCUUUCAUUUUGGUGUAUAUAUCUACGUCUAAAGACUGUUAAAGAGCCUCUCUUACAUCAAAUAUCUGGCUUUUGACCUGUUUUCUUUUAUGAAAACACGAGUGAGAGCUCUCCUUUUUUAUGGUACAAGGAUAAAACCAGCGUAGUGUCAAGGUUACUUUUAAAAUCCUCUUCCUUCACCUUUGUUUUCAGUGCAGACCCAUUAAUAAUGGCCCACACAGUGUCAUGACCAAGGGGCAGGUGCUGCUGACAACAUAUAAGCCUGUCUGUCUGUCUGUGUGUGUGUGUCGCUGUAAAUAGCCACCCACCACUGACACUGCAUUGUCUCCAUUUGUCAGAUGCUAUCAGUUUUAAUUAGAGAGAGCAGAAAAGCAACAGAGAGCAGAAACAGACACAGAGAACAAAAGAGCCAGAGAGUAGCAGCAGCUUCAUGAACUAAUAUCUAUGAUCCAUAAUUUUCUCCAUGUAAUCUUCACAGCUUUAUAAGAGAUUUUUAAGUAGCCUGACAACUUUUUCUUCUCCAUUACACUAAUUCUUUGUCCUUUCUUUUCUUUUCUCUUCUGCAAGUUAUCUCUGUGUGUGUGUGUUGAAAGCAGUGUUGGUGUAAAAGAUGCCAGGAUUUUGAACUACUUCUUUUCAAACUUGACUCCAUCAUAUUUUCUGACAGAAAGAAAAAACAGACUACCUGAAAGAAGAUGUUGCCGUGACGCAAAAGCAGCAAAAGUAUUUAACAAUUUCCUCUGUGGGACAUUCCACUCUUAGCCUGGUGUUAUCUUAUCCACACACUUCAAAAGGAGCAGAUCCACACCUGAGAAAGUCACUUAUAAGAUCCAAACAUUCAACUCAGGGGGGCACAGCACACAUGGCUGUUGUUUGGAUCAGGAUGAGAUUUCUCUGUCGACUCUCAAACAGCACCAGCUCUGAUUACACCCACCCUCUGUGAAACCACAAAGGGAACACUGACCCCUCCUCU
rnacentral:lncRNA from 1 species